AGGCGUAUCAAGUAGGCGAUUCCAAUUUUUUGGUAUAGAAAGAGAUGGUCGGAACUUUGGGGAGCUAAGUCGUAAAAUUCGUGGAAAUGGUGGGCUUGUUGCGCUUGGACUUUCUUAAAAAAAAUUCUUCGUUCCAAACUUUGAUAUGAAGCACACCUAGGCCACCUUCAUCUUUGGGGGAGACGAGCCUCUUUCCAGGCCACAUGAGGCCUGUUGUCUUUACCCGUUUUAGCUCUUAGGGUCCUAGUCCAACGGAGGUACCAUGGUUGGGUGACUUGGGUCAGCAGAUUCAGCACACGUAGUCGAAUACAGAAGAAAACAUUCUAGGUCCGCCAAAACUUCACUGGGACUUUGGGUUGGUCGCUUGUGAGCAGAAGAAGAAAUGGACAUUGCUCUCUUCUCUCCAUCCUCGCUUUUCGCCGACGCUGAUGCUUGCUCUAGUGAUGAGGAAGCGACAGGCACCCAUCAAAGAUACAUGGAAAGAAGGCAUCAAUUUCCUGGAAUGGAGUUGCUCAUCCGCGAAUUUUCCUUUCACAAGCUGAAUGCUAAUUUACUCUGGCCAGGAACAUUUGCAUUUGCGGAAUGGUUAAUUCAACACCAGUCAUGGAUAGAAGGACGACACUGCAUUGAAUUAGGCAGUGGAACUGGAGCUUUGGCCAUUUUUUUGCGGAAACUUUUGCAACUUGAUAUCACUACUUCAGACUAUAAUGAUCCAGAAAUUGAAGAAAAUAUUGCUCACAAUUGCACGAUGAAUGGGAUAACACCAAUCCUUCCUCACAUAAAGCAUUCAUGGGGAGACACAUUUCCAACAACAGAGCCAGACUGGGACCUGGUUAUUGCUAGUGAUAUUCUAUUGUAUGUGAAACAGUACACCAACUUGAUAACAACUCUCUCCUUUCUCCUAAAAUCUUUCAAGUCAAAGGAUGAAAACACACUGGCUCUGAUGGAAGAAGAAACAACUGUAGGGUUGCCUCGGCCAGCAUUUUUAAUGAGUUGGAGACGUCGAAUAGGAAAGGAGGAUGAGUCCCUUUUCUUCACUGGCUGUGAAAAUGCUGGUCUUGAUGUACAGCAUUUGGGAUCUCGUGUGUAUUGCAUCAAGCCUAGGAAAACAACUCUUGAAGGGGGAACAAGCGGUCACGCGAAAUCGUUCCAUUAACUUCAGUUGCCUUCCAGAGGAUAAAAUUGUUUGCGAGGGCCUAGGAUUGUUUUGACACUUAUUUUCUCACACCCAAGACGUGCAUGGGUACAAGGUUCACCAUCUCUAUUCAGGAGAAUGAUUGAUCUGGCAUCAACCUAAUAAGAAACUUCAAAGAAAUCGCAUGAACGCGGCAAGUAGCAAUCCCGCAGCUGACGGCACACAUCACAAGCUGGGCCCUCCAUGCUCUUUUAGGACAAGCAUCAAACACAUGGUGACCAUCAGUUCGGCUGGAUCAAUUGCUACCACACAAUGACGUGACAUAUCCUAAAACUUUUGAGGUAGAUAUGCUAAUGCCCAAUUGAAUGCAUGAGAGGUCAUUGUUGAGUGAAUUUGUUAUUUUCAUAAUUUCAGUGGAGCUGACUUAAUACUUUUUAAUACAAAUUUAUCAAUCUGAAAAAUAUGUAAACUAUAAAUUUAUGUUAUGAUAUAAUUUAAACAAUUAUAUUCA